AGAGAAGAGCACCUCUGACCAGAUCAUCUUCAUCAUAAACCAUGUUCUCUGCAUCUCUUCUCAUGUUGCUGUUGGCAGCUGCCUCCUGUGUCCAGUGUCAGGUCGUUCUCACACAGGCUGAACAGUCGGUCCAGGGGACCCCUGGGAGAUCCGUCACACUAACAUGUGCCUGCAGUGGAUUCGAUCUGAGUAGCACAUACAUGCACUGGAUCCGACGGGCUCCUGGAAAGGGACUUGAAUGGAUCAUGUAUUAUCAUAGCGACACCUACAAUAGUAAUUCUCAGGCAGUACAGGGCCGUUUCAGUGCAUCGAAGGCCAGGCCUAAUUUCUAUCUACACAUGAACCAGUUAAAGCCAGAGGACUCUGCAGUGUAUUACUGUGCUAGAGACUCACAGUGGUAAAAGUCAUGAGAGAAGCUGUACAAAGACAGGAAGAAUAUGCACAAACAAAAAGACUCCCACAUGCACACACACACUUGCACCCCUACACACAUCUGUACAUCCAAAGUCAGUAUCUUGUUGUUUAGUACUUCUAAUACAACCUGUUUGACACUCAGUUGUACACACAAGCACACAACUUUGCACACAGACACUGUGGGAAAUGAAGGGGAAUUAAUGAGGAACAGUUCUAGUGAUGUAUUAAAUACUAUAACAAAAUAAGAAUGCACAUAUUGGAGAUUUGAAAAAAAAGUUGUUCUAGCUUUGUUCAAGAAACAAGAACUACAUAGUAUCUUAAUUACAUUUCAGAUUCAACCGCAUAGAGGACACAGAGACCAAUUACGUUUGAAAAGGAG